CCUCUGUUGAGUAGCUGAACAUACACUUCUAUUUAUUACUACUAAUAUACUACUAGUAAUAUUAGUAGGGCUGGGCACGUUAACGCGUUAUUAUUGCGUUAAUGCAUCAAUUAAUUAACGCCGACAAUUAUUUUAUCGCGAGUUAACGCAGGUUUUAUUAUUUAUUUUAUUAUUGUAAAAGUCUGUUGCUCACAGGCUUUUAUUUUGUAAAAGUCUGCUGCUGACUGCUGCGGAACCGGAAAAGAAAAGAAUGGGCGGAUAAACAAACAUGGAGAAGGGCAUUGCUGCCAUAGACAUAUAUAUAUGUCUAUGAUUGCUGCGACGUGCCAACUCGCCGCCAUCUUGGGAAGGUAAAGGCUGGACUGUAAACAAACGCAAGUGAAAGGUGGAGCUGGAUAAAAAGCGCUAUAGCGUUUACAUUUCUCAACCGAUUUAAUUGAGUCGUUUGUAUAUUCAAGGGUUUAUGAUCUACGUGGAGUACCAAACAAAGUUUGGUCUCCAUGUUACUUAGAAUCUCGAUAGUUCGCCAUAGACAUAUAUGUGAUAAUUGCAAAUCAUUCAACGAAACAGACAGUGGAGGGAGGCUUCGGCAGACUACGUACAGCAGAGUAACUGCCAGCAGUGAACUUUUUGGUGCUUCACCACACUUUAACAUUAAUGCCUUGGCAGUGGCAAUAAGCUUUAGUUUUGUGUGUUUUCUGGUUUCUCACUCAGGGACAUUUGGUACUGAACAUAGACUGGUUAUGCUGCUCCCUGAUGAAAGUAAAAUGUUUCUGCUGUUACCUCAGAAAUUGCCUGUUUUAUUGAUAUGAUUGUGGCCCUGGAUUUUUUUGCCAGUUUUAUUCUUUUUCAUAACGAACAGGAUAACAUUAAUGCCCUGACAAUGGCAAUGAGCUUUAAUUUUGUAUUUGCUUUGAUAACAUUGUUUAAGUUGAGAUUUAAAAUGAAUAUUUUAUUUAACUGCUACUGUAUUAAAAUGCUGAUGUUAAAAGUGUUUGCACAACAAAUGUUAUGGCACUUUCGUUCAUAUGGCAGAACAUUUAAAAUAAAAGUGCGCUAUACACUACUUUUGAAUUAAUU
rnacentral:lncRNA from 1 species